GUCUCAGGUGACAGCGUCUCAGGUGACAGUGUCCCAGGUGGUGACAGUGUCUCAGGUGGUGACAGGGUCUCAGAUGGUGACAAUGUCUCAGGUGGUGACAGUGUGUCAGGUGACAGUGUGUCAGGUGACAGUGUCUCAGGUGACAGUGUCUCAGGUGACAGCGUCUCAGGUGACUGUGUCUCAGGUGACAGUGUCUCAGGUGGCAGUGUCUCAGGUGGUGACAGUGUCUCAGGUGGUGACAGUGUCUCAGGUGGCAGUGUCUCAGGUGACUGUGUCUCAGGUGACAGCGUCUCAGGUGACAGUGUCCCAGGUGGUGACAGUGUCUCAGGUGACAGUGUCUCAGGUGGUGACAGGGUCUCAGAUGGUGACAAUGUCUCAGGUGGUGACAGUAUCUCAGGUGGUGACAGUGUCUCAGGUGGUGACAGGGUCUCAGGUGACUGUGUCUCAGGUGACAGUGUCUCAGGUGACAGUGUCUCAGGUGGUGACAGUGUCUCAGGUGGCAGUGUCUCAGGUGACAGUGUCUCAGGUGGUGACAGCGUCUCAGGUGACAGCGUCUCAGGUCAUGACAGUGUCUCAGGUGGUGACAGUGUCCCAGGUGGUGUUAAUCUGCAUUUCUUUGGAGCAGACGCAGCGCACUUUUGGUUAAAACUCCAAUGGCCUUUUUUUUUUUAACAGAAAUAAAGAAAACAAUUCCAAAAUUCCUAUGGAACCUACAAGACCUUUAACAGCAAAAACAAUCCUGAGAAGGAAGGCCCCAGUAUCAAUACAGGGACUGCAAACGACUCCACGCAGGCACAGUCAGGGGACCUUCUGCAGAGUGAUGAGGCUGCACGGCGCAGCUCCCUACUCCAGAGCAAAUGGUGCGGAAAACCCAGUCCCUGGGCGUCCUCUCCAGCCACGCAGACCUGGAAGAACAACACGGUUCUGAGGCAGAGUCUGCGCUGCGUUUCUGUUUUGUCUUUCUUCUGUAACCAUCGCAAUUAUACACGUCGACUGAUGCAGAGCCUGUUUCCACAGAAGGGCUGGGAGUGCUGCUUGUGUGUGUCCGAGAUGACUCCUUCCAAACGUAAGCAAACGCAGCCACGGUGGGACAGGCGGAGCCAGGAGACCGCCUGUGAACACGGCCACCACGGCUGCUCCCAGUGCCACACGCAUCUCUGCAAGGUGGGAGGGGCUCAGCUGACCCCCAGCUGCCCCACAAGCUCAAUGAGCGAGGCACAGUGGGAGUACCUCCAAACCCUUGUGCGCUGUGGACGUGUGUGUGUGCAAACCCUGGCUCUGCGAAAGGUCACCCCGACACACAGCCUGUCUCCCAACCCCACCCCCAUGGAAGUAAGAUCCUCACUCUCACGUGUGCUGAGUGCCCACAUCACACGGGCAUCCUGUCCUCCUUGGGACACAAGAGGGACACGCCCAGGUCACCAUCUCAGACGACAUCCCCCACUCUCCCCCCACUCUCUAUCCCUCUCUCCCCCCCCACUCUCUCCCUCUCUCCCUCCCCCCCCCUUCCUGGCCCUCUCAUGCUCUCUUGUCUCCUCCUCUGUGUCUCUGUCCCUCCUCCUCCUGGGCACUGCUGUGAGGCUCACAGCUGUCACUGCCCGCAGGUGCACCCGUGCAUAG
ensembl:lncRNA